GGAAGGAUUUGGACCAGUUUUUCCGGUCAACAGCAGGGAAGUUCCAAACAAACAUUGGUAAAGCUUGGGCUUCAGAAAUUGCAUCAAGAAGAAGGAACCAUUGACACAUUAAAUUUUUCUUGUAUACUGUCACAAUCUCCUAUUACUUUCAAAGAACUAAUUCUAACCAAGGCAGGCUGACGCAGGCUUUUAAAGUCCUCUGCAUCAGUAAUGUUACUCAGCAAGAGAAUAGUACUCGGCUGAGUAAACACAGAACUUGGUUUUCUUGUUAUUGUUUCCAGACUGACCCGAUAUAUCACUUAGGAUGGCCAAUGUAGCCAAAGGCUCUUGUUUGUGCAGUUAAAAACGGCAUAUUAUGCUCUUCAUGCAUGAACGACAACAAUUUGUCUGGAUAAUAUUCCAUCAAUAGUUUCUGUUAGAAAUUAAACCUGCAGAUGCUUGUACUGUUUAUUUAUGGUAAUCUUUUCCAAGUUUGGCUUGUA